AUUAUAACUAAUAUUAUAAUAUAAGAUUAACUAAUCUAACGCAUUAAGCAAGUUCUUUAAUCAAAUAAAUAUUAACCAACUAAUUUUAGAAAUGACACUCACUCUGUAAGAAUAAAUGAAGAUUUACAAUUUCUACUCAAAAAUGAAGUUUUAUGCGAUGUUAUAUUUGAAGCUGAUGAUGGUAAAAUUGUUAUUGGCAUAAAAAUGUUUUAAUAUAUUAAGCUAGUCCAUAUUUCCAUGCAAUGUUUAGUAAUUUUGAUGAAAAUUAUAUCUAUACUGAAGAAAUUAUGGCCACAAAAGAAAAUGACCAGGUGUUUUUACCAGCUGAAAAUAUCUUACAGGUAGAUUAUGUUAGCAGUGCAUGUGCUGAGUUUUUACGAAAACAACAGGAUAUAUCAAAUUGUAUUAAUAUCAAAGCAUUUGCUAACUUACAUAACUAUACGGGAUUGUUGUCAAGUUCUGAAGCAUUUAUUAAACAACAUUUUUCAGAAGUAGCUAAAGCCGAAGAUUUUCUAUUCUCAUCUUCUGGAGACUUGGUGAAGCUUAUUUCCUCUAAUGACUGCUGUUCCAUUUGAAGAAAAAGUAACCAAACUACAAAUUAUAAUUUUUAAUAUUUUGCAUGGAAAAUUAACUUAAAAAGUAGGAUUGUUUUAUGCUACUGGUCACAAUUUGAUUAUGGAGUACUUUUACAAUCAUAAACGGUCAUGUGAAUACAAAUAAGUCAAUUGACUGCCUCACCUCAACUAUGUCAAACUAUGUAAACAACUAGUAUACAUUACUAAAUUGUACAUUAUACAUUACUAAUUUUAAUUUGUACAAAAAUAUCUUAAUGGCUGUAA
rnacentral:misc_RNA from 1 species